CUACGUGCCAGCAGCCGCGGUAAUACGUAGGGCGCAAGCGUUAUCCGGAUUUAUUGGGCGUAAAGAGCUCGUAGGCGGUUUGUCGCGUCUGCCGUGAAAGUCCGAGGCUCAACCUCGGAUUCUGCGGUGGGUACGGGCAGACUAGAGUGAUGUAGGGGAGACUGGAAUUCCUGGUGUAGCGGUGAAAUGCGCAGAUAUCAGGAGGAACACCGAUGGCGAAGGCAGGUCUCUGGGCAUUUACUGACGCUGAGGAGCGAAAGCAUGGGGAGCGAACAGGAUUAGAUACCCUGGUAGUCCAUGCCGUAAACGUUGGGCACUAGGUGUGGGGGACAUUCCACGUUUUCCGCGCCGUAGCUAACGCAUUAAGUGCCCCGCCUGGGGAGUACGGCCGCAAGGCUAAAACUCAAAGGAAUUGACGGGGGCCCGCACAAGCGGCGGAGCAUGCGGAUUAAUUCGAUGCAACGCGAAGAACCUUACCAAGGCUUGACAUGUGCCAGACCGCUCCAGAGAUGGGGUUUCCCUUCGGGGCUGGUUCACAGGUGGUGCAUGGUUGUCGUCAGCUCGUGUCGUGAGAUGUUGGGUUAAGUCCCGCAACGAGCGCAACCCUCGUUCCAUGUUGCCAGCACGUAGUGGUGGGGACUCAUGGGAGACUGCCGGGGUCAACUCGGAGGAAGGUGGGGAUGACGUCAAAUCAUCAUGCCCCUUAUGUCUUGGGCUUCACGCAUGCUACAAUGGCCGGUACAAUGGGUUGCGAUACUGUGAGGUGGAGCUAAUCCCUAAAAGCCGGUCUCAGUUCGGAUUGGGGUCUGCAACUCGACCCCAUGAAGUCGGAGUCGCUAGUAAUCGCAGAUCAGCAACGCUGCGGUGAAUACGUUCCCGGGCCUUGUACACACCGCCCGUCAAGUCACGAAAGUUGGUAACACCCGAAGCCGAUGGCCUAACCACCUUGUGUGGGGGGAGUCGCCGAAGGUGGCCCGGG
rnacentral:rRNA from 1 species